rnacentral:rRNA from 1 species
UACGGGGGGUGCGAGCGUUGUCCGGAAUCACUGGGCGUAAAGGGCGCGUAGGUGGUUUGAUAAGGGUGUGGUGAAAGUCCGGGGCUCAACCCCGGAUCUGCCGUGCCGACUGUCAAACUCGAGGGCUGUAGAGGCAGACGGAAUUCCGGGUGUAGCGGUGGAAUGCGUAGAGAUCCGGAGGAAGACCGGUGGCGAAGGCGGUCUGCUGGGCAGUUUCUGACACUGAUGCGCGACAGCGUGGGGAGCAAACAGGG